UACGUAGGGGGCAAGCGUUGUCCGGAAUCAUUGGGCGUAAAGCGCGUGUAGGCGGACUGGAAGGUCUGGUGUGAAAGCCCGGGGCUCAACCCCGGAGGGUCACUGGAAACCGACAGUCUUGAGUCCGGAAGAGGAGAGUGGAAUUCCUGGUGUAGCGGUGGAAUGCGCAGAUAUCAGGAGGAACACCUAUGGCGAAGGCAGCUCUCUGGUACGUGACUGACGCUGAGACGCGAAAGCGUGGGGAGCAAACAGG
rnacentral:rRNA from 1 species